AUACGUAGGGGGCAAGCGUUGUCCGGAAUGAUUGGGCGUAAAGGGCGCGUAGGCGGCGCGGCAAGUCUGGAGUGAAAGUCCUGAUUUUAAGAUGGGAAUUGCUUUGGAUACUGUCGGGCUUGAGUGCAGGAGAGGUAAGUGGAAUUCCCAGUGUAGGGGUGAAAUGCGUAGAGAUUGGGAGGAACGCAAGUGGCGAGGGCGACGUACUGGAUGGUAACUGACGGAGAGGGGGGAAAGAGUGGGGAGCGAACAAGAUUAGAUACCCUGGUAGGCCACACUGGAAGCAAAGGAUGAGAGGUGGAGGGGGUACCGAGCCCAUCUGUGCCGCAGUCAACACAAUAAGCAUUCCGCCUGGGGAGUACGGUCGCAAGAUUGAAACUCAAAUGAAUUGACGGGG
rnacentral:rRNA from 1 species